rnacentral:rRNA from 1 species
UAUAAAAUAUUUUGAAUAUUUAUAUAACAUUAACAUAAUUCAUAUUACUAUAUUUUUUAGUAUAUGAAAUUUUACUUUGAGAAAAUUAGAGUGCUUAAAGCAGGCAUAUGCCUUGAAUACUCCAGCAUGGAAUAAUAUUAAAGAUUUUUAUCUUUCUUAUUGGUUCUAAGAUAAGAAUAAWGAUUAAUAGGGACAGUUGGGGGCAUUUGUAUUUAACAGUCAGAGGUGAAAUUCUUAGAUUUGUUAAAGACAAACUAAUGCGAAAGCAUUUGCCAAGGAUGUUUUCAUUAAUCAAGAACGAAAGUUAGGGGAUCGAAGACGAUCAGAUACCGUCGUAGUCUUAACCAUAAACUAUGCCA